UGGCGGACGGGUGAGUAAUGCUUGGGAAUCUGGCUUAUGGAGGGGGAUAACUACGGGAAACUGUAGCUAAUACCGCGUAAUAUCGAAAGAUUAAAGUGUGGGACCUUCGGGCCACAUGCCAUAGGAUGAGCCCAAGUGGGAUUAGGUAGUUGGUGGGGUAAAGGCUCACCAAGCCGACGAUCUCUAGCUGGUCUGAGAGGAUGACCAGCCACACUGGGACUGAGACACGGCCCAG
rnacentral:rRNA from 1 species